GAAAUUGAUGUUUCAUUUCAUUUCAUACCCAUAAUUGCAGGCAAAUUAAAUCGAAACAAUCCAAUAAGACUUGUGUUUAUCGGAAAUUUUUUUUUUGUGAAAUUGAAACCUCAAGAGGAGAUAAUCCAUCAAUAAUUACCAUCCAAAAUUUUUAUACCAAGCUGAUGGAACAAAAUAUCAG